rnacentral:rRNA from 1 species
CACGUAGGGUGCGAGCGUUGUCCGGAAUUAUUGGGCGUAAAGAGCUCGUAGGCGGUGUGUCGCGUCGGCCGUGAAAACCUGCAGCUUAACUGUGGGCGUGCGGUCGAUACGGGCAUCACUGGAGUUCGGCAGGGGAGAGUGGAAUUCCUGGUGUAGCGGUGAAAUGCGCAGAUAUCAGGAGGAACACCGGUGGCGAAGGCGGGUCUCUGGGCCGAUACUGACGCUGAGGAGCGAAAGCGUGGGGAGCAAACAGG